AGAGUUUGAUCCUGGCUCAGAUUGAACGCUGGCGGUAUGCUUAACACAUGCAAGUCGAACGGUAACAGGAAAAGCUUGCUUUUCGCUGACGAGUGGCGGACGGGUGCGUAAUGCGUAGGAAUCUGCCUAGUAGUGGGGGACAACUCGGAGAAAUUCGAGCUAAUACCGCAUAAGCCCUACGGGGGAAAACGGGGGAUCUUCUGACCUCGUGCUAUUAGAUGAGCCUACGUUAGAUUAGCUUGUUGGUGAGGUAAAAGCUCACCAAGGCGACGAUCUAUAGCUGGUCUGAGAGGAUGAUCAGCCACACUGGGACUGAGACACGGCCCAGACUCCUACGGGAGGCAGCAGUGGGGAAUAUUGGACAAUGGGCGAAAGCCUGAUCCAGCAAUACCGCGUGUGUGAAGAAGGCCUGAGGGUUGUAAAGCACUUUCAAUUGGGAGGAAUACCUAAUGGUUAAUAGCCAUUAGAUUGACA
rnacentral:rRNA from 1 species